rnacentral:lncRNA from 1 species
GGAGCAGGAGCAGAUGUGGAAGAAGGCAAAUGAGGAGGAGAGGUAUCAGGAUUGAAGGAAGGAAUGGAGGCUGGAUUAGAAGAGGGAAAACUGGUGGCAGAAGGAGGAGGAGGAGAGGAACAGACAGGUAUCAGCAAGUCAGUGUCAGAGAAAGAAGGCUCAAGAGGAGGAACUGAAGGAAAGGAAGAAGGAGCAGGAGAUGAAGCAUUCUUAAAAGGAAAGUAGGUUUCAUGAAAUAUAACAUCCCUGGAGACAAAGUAUUUCUUUGAAGUAAGGUCAUAAAGCCUAUAACCCUUUUUGGCAAAAGGAUACUCAAUGAAGACACAGGAAAGGGCUCUAGGUUUCAAUUUGUCCCUUCGAGGAAUUGGAACAGUAGCAUAGGCAAGACACCCAAAUGCUCUCAAAUGAGAGUAGGUUGGGGCCUUUCCAUGUAAAACUUCAAAGGGAGAUUUAUGAUGAAGAAGUCUGGAUGGUAGUCUAUUAAGGAGGUAGGUGGCAGUUAGUAAGCAGUCCCCCCAGAAAGAAAUUGGUAAGCCAGAUUGAAAAAGUAAGGCUCUACAUGCCUCAAGGAGAGUUCUAUGUUUCCUUUCUACAACACCAUUCUGUUGAGGACUAUGAGGACAGGUUGUUUGGUGAAUAAUCCCUUGGUUACUAAAGAAAGAGGUAACCUCAAUGCUAGACCCCAGUUCCAAAGCAUUAUCACUUUUAACAAUUUGAACCACAGAAUUAAACUGAGUUUUAACCAUAGACAGAAAUGAUUUAAGCAAGCAGAAGGCAUUGCUUUUGGACCCCAGUAAGUGUGUCCAGGUAGCCCUAGAGAAAUCAUCAACAAUUGUAAGAAAAUAUCUAGAGCCAGAAGAGUAGGAGUAUGAUAGGGGCCCCAAGUGUCCACAUCAAUCAAUUGAAAAGGUCUAGAAGUAGUUAUUGUGCUAUCAGGAAAGGGAAGUCUAGUCUGUUUAGCCAUGGGACAGAUAGAACAAGGGAAAGACUACUUAGAAGCAAAAGGAAAAGACAAUCAAGAAAUAUGUUUCAUAUUUGAAAAUGAAGUAUGAGCAGUCCCCCCAGAAAGAUAUUGGUAAGCCAGAUUGAAAAAGUAAGGCUCUACAUGCCUCAAGAAGGGUCCUAUGUUUUCUUUCUACAACACCAUUCUGUUGAGGACAGGUUGUUUGGUGAAUAAUCCCUUGGUCACUAAAGAAAGAAGCACCCUCAAUGCUAGAUUCAGUUCCAAAGCAUUAUCACUUCUAACAAUUUGAACCACAACAUUAAACUGGGUUUUAACCAUACACAGAAAUGAUUUAAGCAAGCAGAAUGCAUUGCUUUUAGACCCCAGUAAGUGUGUCCAGGUAGCCCUAGAGAAAUCAUAAACAAUUGUAAGAAAAUAUCUAGAACCAGAAGAAGUAGGAGUGUGAUAGGGCCCCCAAGUGUCCACAUGAAUCAAUUGGAAAGGUCUAGAAGUAGUUAUUGUGCUAUCAGGAAAGGGAAGUCUAGUCUGUUUAGCCAUAGGAC